rnacentral:lncRNA from 1 species
UAAGAAACACAUGUGCGUGUACAUAGGCAUAAUAAUAAUGGUAUAUAAUAUUGUAGUAAAAAUAACAUAAAAAGAUACUAGCAAUAUUAAUUAAACAAGCUAAAAAAAUCUAAAAUAUAAGAUUAAAGGUUGAAUUGCAAACCAACAAAAUUUAAAUGCUGAUUUCGAAAAAUAAAAAGAAAAUAAAAACAAGAAGGGAGCAGAUUCAAAAGCGCGCGAUAGGAGGGGGACCAAUCGAGCAAUUCACCCAGACCUCCAAAACGCAGCGCAGAAAGGGACCGAAUUGAAACGAAAAUUAAAUAUGCGGCCCAAUUUUAAAACAAAUAAAAAGAAUUUAAUUGAUAUGCGUUGCAAAAGGGAGGGGCUAAAUGAGGAAAUUAACCAAAACCCAAAACGCGCGGAUCCUUCCCCGGGUCGGGUCACCGCGCGGGUCGCAGGGCUGAAACGGCGCCGUUUUUGUGCUUACCCUUCGGCCCAAAACGGUGCCGUUUUGGGUAAGCUAUAAAUGCAAUGUUUUUCUUAAAAAAAAACUUAUUUUUUCUUUCUGUUUCAAAAAAAACAAAAAAAUGUUUCCUUUUCUCUCUAGCAGGCCCAGAAUCCGGCCAAAUUCCAGCGAGUGGCAAUUGUGCCGGCCGCCGAUCGUCGACGCCGGCGCCGCCGCCGCCGCCGGCGCCGCCGUGAACGGGCGGGGAGUCGAAAAGCCUCUUUUUUUAAACCCGUUUUAGAUCCCCUUCAAAAGCCAAACAUCUUUGACCCAAAAAGACGACUCUUGGCCCCCCUUUAUCCUCUCGGAUCCGACGGCCACGAAGGAGGAGAGCCCUCCGACGGCAAACCCGAAAGGCGUUUCAGGUGAGCCCCGCUCCCUUUUGUUUCUUAUUUAUUAUAUGUAAAAAAAAAAGAAAAACAAACAGAAAGAGCAAACAAAGGGAAAAAAAUCGAAUCUAAGAAAAAACCUCCGUUUUGUAUUCUGUUUUUUCAAAUCUUUUUUCCUUCGUAUUUUCCCUUCUAUUUUCGUAUCUCUUUACACCGAAUUCCCCCCCCCCCCUUUACAUGAUUUAAAUCGGCCUUUAAAUAGCCGAAAUGGAAAAGAUAAAUCAACAAAAUCAAAAAAGAGAUUUAUUCUGUUUUGUUGGCAUGAUUUUUGCUAUCUUGUUGCUGCAGGUACUGUUGGAGGAGACUACGCGCGACGUGGAGGCGCAACUCUCGCGGAGGAGGCCUCUAGCUCCGAGUUGUGCGCCGAUUGGGACUGCUGGAGGCGGGGGCUGCUGCUAGGGUUUCUCAACCCUUCCCUUUUCCAUUAGUUUCGGGCCUGGCUUAGGAAUUGGCUAUUGGGCUCGUUUAUUAGGCUUGUAUAUUUUGUUUGGGUUUAUUCGUUAAUAGGCCAGGCCAAAAUUGGUAUUACAGGUUUCAUUAAAAGAAAUAAUUGAUUUAACAGACGAGCUAUGGAUCGACUUCUGAAAUAGUGGAUGAGGUAUUUCUACUCUACAUAAAUUUAAUGCCUAAAAAAUUCAACAAAAUUUAAAAGGAUUUCCUUAUAAACAUAUUUCUUUGCAAAAGGAGUGAAAAUUCCUCAACAAAUAUAAUAAGUAAAAUGAAGAAUCUUACUAUCCGGCGUUAAGCUAUACUUUUAAAAAAUAAAAAUGAGAAAUGCUAAACCUAAAAAAACAAAUUUCUAUAUCAUAAAUUUAUGCUAAUCUAAUAAUAUCGAACUUGAUUAUUAGUACAAUAACAUGAAGG